rnacentral:rRNA from 1 species
UGGCGGACGGGUGAGUAAUACUUAGGAAUCUGCCCAGUAGUGGGGGACAACUCGGGGAAACUCGAGCUAAUACCGCAUACGCCCUAUGGGGGAAAGUGGAGGAUCUUCGGACUUCACGCUAUUGGAUGAGCCUAAGUCGGAUUAGCUUGUUGGUGAGGUAAAGGCUCACCAAGGCGACGAUCCGUAGCUGGUCUGAGAGGACGAUCAGCCACACUGGGACUGAGACACGGCCCAGACUCCUACGGGAGGCAGCAGUGGGGAAUAUUGGACAAUGGGGGCAACCCUGAUCCAGCAAUGCCGCGUGUGUGAAGAAGGCCUGCGGGUUGUAAAGCACUUUCAGUAGAGAAGAAAAGCCUACGGUUAAUACCCGUGAGUCUUGACGUAACCUACAGAAGAAGCACCGGCUAACUCCGUGCCAGCAGCCGCGGUAAU